ensembl:lncRNA
CGAAAAUCACGCGUUUUCUCUUCGCAAAUCCCCCAUUUAAGCGAAAAUCACGCGUUUUCUCUUCGCAAAUCCCCCAUUUAACCUGAAAAUCACGCGUUUUCUCUUCGCAAAUCCCCCAUUUAACCCGAAAAUCACGCGUUUUCUCUUCGCAAAUCCCCCAUUUAACCCGAAAAUCACACAUUUUCUCUUCGCAAAUCCCCCAUUUAAGCGAAAAUCACGUGUUUUCUCUUCGAGAAUACCCCAUGUAAGCGAAAAUCACGCGUUUUCUCUUCGAGAAUCCCCCAUUUAACCCGAAAAUCACGCAUUUUCUCUUCGCAAAUCCCCCAUUUAACGAAAAAUCACGCGUUUUCUCUUCGCAAAUCCCC